rnacentral:lncRNA from 1 species
UUCCUUUUCAAAUAGCAAACUCCCUUUUCAAAUAGCAAAACUCCCUUUUCAAAUAGCAAAACUCCCUUUUCAAAUAGCAAAACUCCCUUUUCAAAUAGCGAAACUCCCUUUUCAAAUAGCAAAACUGUCUUCUCAAAUAGCAGAACUCCCUUUUCAAAUAGCAAAACUCCCUUUUCAAAUAGCAAAACUCCCUUUUCAAAUAGCAAAACUCCCUUUUCAAAUAGCAAAACUCUCUUCUCAAAUAGCAAAAGCAAAACUCCCUUUUCAAAUAGCAAAACUCCCUUUUCAAAUAGCAAAACUCCCUUUUCAAAUAGCAAAACUCCCUUUUCAAAUAGCAAAACACCCUUUUCAAAUAGCAAAACUUUCUUUUCAAAUAGCAAAACUCUCUUUUCAAAGAGCAAAACUCCGUUUUCAAACAGCAAAACUUCUUUUUCAAAUAGCAAACCUUCUGUUCAAAUAGCAAAACUCUCUUUUCAAAGAGCAAAACUCCGUUUUCAAACAGCAAAACUUCCUUUUCAAAUAGCAAACCUUCUGUUCAAAUAGCAAAACUCUCUUUUCAAAUAGCAAAACUCUCUUUUCAAAUAGCAAAACUCUCUUUUCAAAUAGCAAAACUCUCUUUUCAAAUAGCAAAACUCUCUUUUCAAAGAGCAAAACUCCGUUUUCAAACAGCAAAACUUCCUUUUCAAAUAGCAAACCUUCUGUUCAAAUAGCAAAACUCUCUUUUCAAAUAGCAAAACUCCCUUUUCAAAUAGCAAAACUCCCUUUUCAAAUAGCAAAACUUUCUUUUCAAAUAGCAAAACUCCCUUUUCAAAGAGCAAAACUCCCUUUUCAAAUAGCAGACCUCCCUUCUCAAGUAGCAAAACUCCUUUUUCAAAUAGCAAAACUCCCUUUUCAAAUAGCAAAACUUUCUUUUCAAAUAGCAAAACUUUCUUUUCAAAAAGCAAAACUCCCUUUUCAAAUAGCAAAACUCUCUUUUCAAAUAGCAAAACUCCCUUUUCAAAUAGCAAAACUCCCUUUUCAAAUAGCAAAACACCUUUUUCAAAUAGCAAAACACCCUUUUCAAAUAGCAAAACUCUCUUUUCAAAUAGCAAAACUCCUUUUUCAAAUAGCAAAACUCCCUUUUCAAAUAGCAAAACUUUCUUUUCAAAUAGCAAAACUUUCUUUUCAAAUAGCAAAACUCCCUUUUCAAAUAGCAAAACUCCCUUUUCAAAUAGCAAAACUCCCUUUUCAAAGAGCAUAACUCCAUUUUCAAAUAGCAAAAAUUUCUUUUCAAAUAGCAAAACUUCAUUUUCAAAUAGCAACACUCUCUUUUCAAAUAGCAAAACUCCCUUUUCAAAUAGCAAACCUCCCUUCUCAAAUAGCCAAACUCCCUUUUCAAAUAGCAAAACUCGUUUGCUAUCUUGUAGUCAGAACAUACUUUUCAGAAACCUGUACUUUAUGAACUUUAUUUUUAAAGACUAAGUACACAUUGAGCAUUGAGUACUGAGUUUGUUCUAGCGCAAGUACGCGGCAACAACCAUUGGCGUACCAGUCAGGUACGACUAGAAAUCUUGAAUGAUC